UGUACCAGAGCAGCAUAAGAGCAUGGAAAGAAACUUUCUUUUGUGGAGAAUUUUUUGGGGGUGUAUUUCAGUGUGCUGAUAAAAACGGUAGGAGAAAAUAAUCAUAAUACUACAGUCCGGGCAUUAGAGAAAUUCCAUGAAAGAGGGAACCUUUUAAAGGUGCACUGCUGAAAAUUUGAUUUAAGAGAAAUGUACUGAAAACGUGCCCUUCUGAAGCUUAAUAAAAGAGCCAGUGGAAUAGCAACUUGAUUCAAAAGUCAGUAAGGAGAGGUUGUUCCACAAAGCGCCACAGAGAAGACUUCAACACACACACAAGCGCGGACACAGAGCUUAGCAUAUUUGUUUUCCGUUACUUUUAACAAUGUUCAUCAAUGAUAUUUGAUCACACUAUUGACAAGUCUGCAAAUGGCAUUUGUUACCAGCAGCAUUACUCAGAGAGCUUUUAAUUGCCUUGUUAAGCUGUUUGUGCAAACUCUUUGCAUUCAGUAUUAUACAAAAGAGGUGCUUUUGCUAUUUGCAUUUCUCCUUGUGAUCCUCGAUUAAGCACGAUAAAAGUGAGUUGUAUCAUACUGAGUUUUAGUUGGAUAAGAGGCAAAGGAAAACUUUUGUGGAUGCUUUUUAAGGGAUAGUAUUCAAGCCACUGAAGUAUGUGUAUGUAUCUGUUAUUUAUUAUAAAUACAUGCUAGUGGAAAUCUUAGGAGCUUCCUUAUUCCACUGUCAAUCUCUGGGGAUUCUACUAUCUCCAAAUCCACAUCUGAAGGACUUCCUAAAAAAGGUGGGCUUUCGCCAAAGGUGUAGGUAUUUAAUUUGUUUGUAUGCAAUCAUUCUAAAGGGUUGGCUUUGGAACUAAUAUAGGCCUCAAUUCAUAUAGUCAUGUGCUUAAGUCUCUCUCUAUUCAGGGUGCUUUCCUGAAUCAGGCCGAUAGCAAGCAUAAUUUUAUUUUUACCAGGUGCAAAAGGAAUGUGAGUGUGUGCAGGUAAUGAUGUUUACUUGCAGUAUUUAUUCAGCAUCUAGUUGUCUCUGUGUGCUGUAAACACUUUUAGAUUGUGAGGUCCAUGGUGAACAAGAGAGACAAAGCUGCAAUUGAAGCUAUGCAGAAGCCUAUUUAUUGGUGUUUAUAGCCUAGCAGAGUGGGGUCCUGCUCCAUGACUGGAACUCCUAAGCUCUAUGAUAAUAUUAA